rnacentral:lncRNA from 1 species
AUUGGAGGAAAGAUGAGUGAGAGCAUCAACUUCUCUGACAACCUAGGCCAGUGUGUGGUGAUGCCAGGCAUGCCCUUCCCUAGCAUCAGGUCUCCAGAGCUGCAGAAGACGACGGCCGACUUGGAUCACACUCUUGCAGGGCCAUCAGGCACCAAAGGGAUUCUGCCAGCAUAGUGCUCCUGGACCAGUGAUACACCCGGCACCCUGUCCUGGACAAGCUGUUGGCCUGGAUCUGAGCCCUCGUGGAGGUCAAAGCCACCUUUGGUUCUGCCAUUGCUGCUGUGUGGAAGUUCACUCCUGCCUUUUCCUUUCCCUAGAGCCUCCACCACCCCGAGAUCACAUUUCUCACUGCCUUUUGUCUGCCCAGUUUCACUAGAAGUAGGCCUCAUCCUGACAGGCAGCUGCACCACUGCCUGGCGCUGUGCCCUUCCUUUGCUCUGCCCGCUGGAGACGGUGUUUGUCAUGGGCCUGGUCUGCAGGGAUCCUGCUACAAAGGUGAAACCCAGGAGAGUGUGGAGUCCAGAGUGUUGCCAGGACCCAGGCACAGGCAUUAGUGCCCGUUGGAGAAAACGGGAAUCCCAAAGAAAUGGUGGGUCCUGGCCAUCCGUGAGAUCUUCCCAGGGCAGCUCCCCUCUGUGGAACCCAAUCUGUCUUCCAUCCUGUGUGGCCGAGGGCCAGGCUUCUCACUAGGCCUCUGCAGGAGGCUGCCAUUUGUCCUGCCCACCUUCUUAGAAGCGAGACGGAGCAGACCCAUCUGCUACUGCCCUUUCUAUAAUAACUAAAGUUAGCUGCCCUGGACUAUUCACCCCCUAGUCUCAAUUUAAAAAGAUCCCCAUGGCCACAGGGCCCCUGCCUGGGGGCUUGUCACCUCCCCCACCUUCUUCCUGAGUCACUCCUGCAGCCUUGCUCCCUAACCUGCCCCACAGCCUUGCCUGGAUGUCUAUCUCCCUGGCUUGGUGCCAGUUCCUCCAAGUCGAUGGCACCUCCCUCCCUCUCAACCACUUGAGCAAACUCCAAGACAUCUUCUACCCCAACACCAGCAAUUGUGCCAAGGGCCAUUAGGCUCUCAGCAUGACUAUUUUUAGAGACCCCGUGUCUGUCACUGAAACCUUUUUUGUGGGAGACUAUUCCUCCCAUCUGCAACAGCUGCCCCUGCUAACUGCCCUUCUCUCCUCCCUCUCAUCCCAGAGAAACAGGUCAGCUGGGAGCUUCUGCCCCCACUGCCUAGGGACCAACAGGGGCAGGAGGCAGUCACUGACCCCGAGACGUUUGCAUCCUGCACAGCUAGAGGUCCUUUAUUAAAAGCACACUGUUGGUU